rnacentral:lncRNA from 1 species
AUGCGAAAAAAAAAAAAGGGAAAUGCGCCUGCUGCCACCUCGCACCACUCCAAGGGUGCACGCAAGCCAGAACACAUCGGCUUGUACUCCCCAUCAGUCACGAAGGGUGUCAAGACCGGUGACAAUAGUAUUGUUACUGAUCUUGUGUCUGAUAAGCCUAUUUACGCCCUGCCCCCCUCAGAUGUGUCUAGUAACUUCCUUUCUCAUGGGGGUUACUACUGCGAUGGUCAUCCAGACCAUUUUGAACUGAACGUGAGGACCUACCACAUCCAGUCCCGUAUAGUAAGGGCUGAUCAAAUCAUGCAAACACGGGCUCCAGUGGUGGUCAACACGUCUGUGUUUGAAGACAACGCUGAAGCGUUAUUAGAGAAUGUCACCAAGACAUAUCUCCCAAAGUGGGGGACAGGCAUUGAAUUGACCCAGGUGGACUACACUACCAUGACGGGAAUGAUGACGGGCACGGAGAUCAGCGCCAGAGCGUGUGCAAACGCCCUGAAUCCCUUGCUGAACAUCAUUGACCCGGACUUCAUCCCACACACAUGUUUGGGCCUAGCUUAUGCCACAAGGCAGUGGGAUUGUAGUGCCUUGUAUGUCAAGUUGGCCUACUGGGCGAUGGUAUUGGACUACCAGGGGGUCGCGAACAAUGCCCUGGCCUACCCUGCCUUCGUGGCAAAUGAGGACACCGUCAAAGUCAUCUUGAUGGAUGUCAACUCAAUCGACACUGCUGUCCUAUUUCGACAGUACGUACAGGAGGGGUACAUAUUCCUGCGGGAAGGCGUGGAUUUCGAAAGGACAGAGAUUCAAACCAUUCUCUGGAUGGCGCGAAGUGGCUAUCGAGUUGCUUCAGCCGCGAACGCGCGCACACCCGACAUGUGCUACGUUAAGUGGCCUUCAAUCAACGUGUGCCUGCUCAUGUAUGGCGCAGCUCCGGCUGCUGGUUGGCCCGGCAACGUGGCUGCCGCAGCCCAGACCUCGCAGCAGCUGCUGCAAUUCGGCUCGAACCUGGCGAAUGCCAGGAACGAGCAUUAUUCUUAUUGCCGGGGCAUAUACUAUGCCCUGGACGUGAUAGGGGUGAGAUAUGCCACCCGCAGGGCAGGUGAUGCAGCUAGGCAUUACAGAAUGUGCCAGUUCAUGAACUUGGAGCCCAUUAGCGUGCCAACCCCAGCCGACCUCCACCCUUCUACCGGGCUCUGGGCAUAUUGCCGCAGGAGGAUGACGCCCACCGGAGGGCCGAAGUUGAGUGCUCGUUGCCUAUUCUGGCCAGUCCCGCGUGCAGCUGGCCUGCACUUACGUCUCGCUGAUAAUGAAAUUCAGCACGACGUACCUCUUCUCGAUGUCUCUAACCACCGCGGACAUCGUCACCUACCUUAAUGGUGGUGCACCCCGGGGCACAGCCAAUGUGCUGUUGAAGCAAGUCUGUGAACCUUUGCUCCAAAGUGCUAAAACUCAGUGUUUUUGUAUAGCUCGAGGGACCUUGUAGAUCAGAGACAAGUGCUAGAGAGUCAAAGCUUUCAGCAUGAAAUAAAGAGUGGUAGUUUUCUCAGAAAGUUGGAAUUAUGACUUGGCACAAAGUUGGCUCAAUAAGUCUUAUCAUCAUAGAAAACAACUCUCUUACUGAAAACUAGCAUGACUAACCGAUAGCACGUUGGAUGAGAACAAGAGAAAAGCAGCUUUACUCAAGCAUGCUGUCCAGGAGGUAAAAGAUGGAAUUAUUAUCAAGGUCGACUAGUGCUUCUUUACUCAAGGGAGCAGUCACAGAAAAGUUAGAGAGAGGAAUGUAGCUUUACUCAAGCAUACAUUUGAAGUGAAAUGGUUUGCAUCUUUACUCAAGAGUGCAACAUAAAGAGAAGUAGAGACUAGUGCAGCUUUUACUCAAGCAUGCAGUCAAAAGGAAGCAGCCUUACUCAGGCAAGCCUAGAAGAGGAGUAGUUGAGCUCUUGGAGGUGAAAAAGAGACUCAAUUCGCAGCGGCCGCUGCCGCUGUAUUUACAAGAGUGAUUACAUAACCUGGAUAUAAAAAAAAAAAAAAAAAAAAAAAAAAAAAAAAAAACACCUGUUGUCAUUCAACUGUCUAGUAGCUCCAUCGCCCACAGCACAUCAUCCAAGCCCCUGAAGGUUCAGUACUCAACCGGCCCUUUCAGGGCCACCAAGUUUAGAGCACUCAUAAGAUAUCACAGGGUGGUUUGGAGCAAAGCCCACACAACUUUGAGAAACUUGAAAAAUGUCUUUUUCCUCACUGGUACCUCUAUACUUCUAUUUCUUGAAAGCUUCCUUUGACUUCCACAGUAGCAUGAAAACUGCAUAUUCUUUACCUCCAGCUUACUUUACUAUACAAUGGUUAAAUUGGAAGUUAAAAACUCAAUGCAAGCUAAGAUCAAAACUUUUGGAGUCGAAAAAGAUCAGAUGUACUGAACGAACAGGGAGUUAAAUGGAGCCAAAUUUACUUAUCUUUGAUUAAAUUUUUUCACCAACAUCUAAUUCUACAAAAACUGAAGACGGCAUUUGCAAUUUCAUUGAUUCAAUUUGAGCUUAAAGCAAUAAUUAGGAAAUGGGGUAGUUGCAUUGACUUUGAGGAGCUUUUUCUCAAAGUUCCAAUGAACGGACAAUUUUUUUAAAAAAUACCUCAAUGCUCUGCAGACCUCAAACUUAAAGAAAUUGAAUUGAAAAAAUUCCGUGCAACUACCCCAUUGAAGAUCAUGAUUUUCAAAACACUAAAAGUUAAAAUUGUUAUCACAGUUAAUGAUAAUCCAUUAGCAGCACAGAGACAUUAAUGACUAUGAACAAUGUGAGUUCAUUUCAGACUUUUGAAGGAAGUCAAACCUGCAGGUAACUAGUAAAUCAAUUUGUACAAAUUGUUUGAAUACAUACGGACGUCAUCAAAAUCAUUGAUUUUAUCUUCAGAAUUUGAGGAAAUCCUGCCUUGAAAGAUGAAAUCAGCUCCGAGUGGACUCAAUAGUCUCCACAACUGCAUCAGUUUCAUCUGCAUCUGGUGCUUUGGUUCUACAAUUGCCGCUUGGAUUCUAACGUAGUCUGAGAGCAGGCUGAGAUGAUGAUGAAAUAAAACUAAAAAUCUUGAGCUUACAAUCAGUUGACAACGCCAUCAGCAGUUUCAACGAUCAGCAUAAUACUGUUUGGAUCCGAUCGAACACAUUCCACCUGGUGGACAGCCCAGUCUUUCCGCUGACAGAAUAUCGAACAGUAUGGCGUUCGGCGACACAAGGAACACUCAGCAUACGCUUCCCUAUCACAGUUGGCACACUGUAAGAAAAAAAAAAUCUGAUUUAGAAAUUAGGAUGGAUUUUAAAGGUUGAAGCUUCAUGGUUGAUGUAGCACUGUACAAUCAAAUUUCGAGUAUAUUCAAGCACUAUUUUGUGAAUUUUUCAAUAAAGUAGAACAUGCGAUAAUUUUCCUCUUAACUCCCAAAAUUAAUGGAAAUUCAAUCGAUAGUAAAGAGUGCCCAAUUACAGCAAACAGUCAGCAUUUUUAUACUUGUAACACAACUGGUAUUAAUUUGAAAAACUUAAAUAAAUUCCAAAAGAAUUUACAGAGGAAAAUUAUUCCUACACUUCUGCUAAGAUACAGCUCUGAUUGUCUUUUGAAUCAGUGUCAGUUUUAAACUUUAUUUUUGAGACCCCGUGCAUUCAGAAAAACCACAGAUCUGUUAAAAAAUGUUUACUUUUCAUUAAGAACCCUCUUACCUUCUUCUGUUCAUUGUUAUCUGCAGUUGGCUGGAGACUAACAGAAUUCAAUGAAUUUACAAAAUGGACUGAAGAAUCGUCGACAACUCUGAAAAAAAGAGGGAAAAAAGGGUUUUAUCUAAGUUGUACAUUUCCAAACCUUCAGCUUUCUGCAAGAAAAAAAAAUCUGAAUGCCAAUAACCUCAACCUUGAGUUGUUCGUCCCACUAGAAAUGCGAUCUCAAAAUUUAAUUAAAACAGCAGCUGACUGAGACCUUGGAGCUAAUCUAUGCGAUAUAAUCGCAAUGGCAGGUCAUUCUGACUUAUGGUUCUCUCGCCCUCAAAUCACCUUGAUCUGCUAUGUUCAGGACUCAUGAUGGGUUUGUUGCACAUAAGAGACACAGCAGCAUAAAUAGACUGUCUACAUGUAAAACCCUUUGCAGACCUCAAUUGGCACAUUUAAAAAGUGUGAAAUCCACUCCUUAGCAAGCAAUUUGCCUACAUUAAAACACAUUUCUUUGAAUUUCCUGCACACUCUAUCAGUAUUUCUUGGUGGCCGGCAAUCAUGAUUGCUCAGAAGAAGAGAUUUAGGAUAACUUAAUCUAAGUAAGCAAUUAAUCUCACAAACCGUUACGAACUUUUCUAAUGAAUGAUUCUCCCUAAUAAAGCUUUAAUUAAUGCUUUUGGUAUUUUUCUCUCCCCUCAGUUUGGUACUGAUACUCAUUAUAGCUCAGAUUUUCAACUGUGAUUGAAAUUUUUGGAGUUUUCUGGUCUUGAUUUCCCUGGAGAGUAGUGUGGACACAGCAUUAUUCUACCUCCUUGUCAUUUGGGUAGCAGUUACCUGACCUUAAUAACAGCAUUGAAAUUGAGAUUAUUUUUACCGCUGAGUGUCGACUCGACUGUUUAAUAUAGUAUUUUCCUUUUCUUUCGCAGAGCUUCUUCUAGAGUGGACACUUCCCUCUGCCACUGCGCUCUACUUUCCUCGACAGACUUCUUUAGUUGAUAUGCAAGUUUAAUUAAUUUGUUGGCAACCUGAAAGGAUUAACAUAAUUAAAAAUCAAAUUCAUAUCAAGCGUUUUUCCUACAAUGAAAGUGUUGAAGGCCCUGAUCCUCAAUUUACUUGGAAA